rnacentral:rRNA from 1 species
UACGUAGGGCGCAAGCGUUAUCCGGAAUUAUUGGGCGUAAAGAGCUCGUAGGCGGUUUGUCGCGUCUGCCGUGAAAGUCCGGGGCUCAACUCCGGAUCUGCGGUGGGUACGGGCAGACUAGAGUGCAGUAGGGGAGACUGGAAUCCUGGUGUAGCGGUGAAAUGCGCAGAUAUCAGGAAGAACACCCGUGGCUAAGGCGGUUCUCUAGUACGGUACUGACGCUGGAGACGCGAAAGCGUGGGGAGCGAACAGG